AGAGUUUGAUCCUGGCUCAGGAUGAACGCUGCGGCAUGCCUAACACAUGCAAGUCGAACGGACCUUUAUUUUGAGAGUUCCUUUAUAGAAAUUCUCAAAAUACUGGUUAGUGGCGGACGGGUGAGUAACACGUUGGUACCUACCCUCUAGUGGGGAAUAACUUCGAGAAAUCGAGGCUAAUACCGCAUGUGGUCUACGGAUCAAAGCAGUAAUGCGCUAGAGGAGGGGCCUGCGUCUGAUUAGCUUGUUGGUGAGGUAAAAGCUCACCAAGGCGACGAUCAGUAGCUGGAUCGAGAGGUUGACCAGCCACACUGGGACUGAGAUACGGCCCAGACUCCUACGGGAGGCAGCAGUGAGGAAUCUUCCACAAUGGACGAAAGUCUGAUGGAGCAAUGCCGCGUGCAGGAUGACGGCCUUCGGGUUGUAAACUGCUUUUAUAUGGGAAGAUUAUGACGGUACCAUAUGAAUAAGGACCGGCUAACUACGUG
rnacentral:rRNA from 1 species